GGCAGCAGGCUUAACAAAGGAAUGUAGAAAGGGCCCCCAGUGACACCCCCUCACCCGCCGGCUGAACACAGGCCCAUCAGGGGACACAUUUCAAAAUAUCCAUAUGCCCUCACUAACCAAUGGGCUACCGACAAGCAGUGGAUUCAACAAACUUCUAGAUCAUUUGACCGCAGGUGAAUUCUUUUCAACUGCCACUUGACUAGCUUCAAACCAAUCAUCAUCCCAUAGCUGGGGCCCUCAUCUGACUGAUUCAUUCUUCAACUCCAAGAGACAACCUAGCUCUCCUGCUUCAAAAUGACUGUGCAGAUCAAAAACUUAGCUUUAAGAAGACUAUGAAGGAAAAAGUGAAAUGACUCGAGUAUGGUGCUGGCUGGAUGACUUCUCUUGUUUCACUUUGCUUCUAGUUUGCCUGGGAAAAUGAAAGGUCUCACCUUUGUGAACCGGAGAUACCAGCUUUUGUGAUCAGAAGUUCUAAAUCAGGUUUCCAUCCUUCACAGAGAGAGAGAGAGAGGCAGAGACACAGGCAGAGGGAGAAGCAGGCU